rnacentral:rRNA from 2 species
GGAGAAUAUUUGACAAUGGGCGAAAGCUUGAUCGAGUAAUGUUACGUGGGUGAUCAGAAGGCUUAAUUGCUGUAAAACUCGUUUCGUCAAGGAUUAUAAUGCAAUCGUACUUGAAGGAGAAGCCCUGACUAACUUCGUGCCAGCAGUCGCGGUAAUACGGAGAGGGCAAGUGUUAUUCGCAUUGACUGGGUGUAAAGGGUGCGUAGGUGGCUUGUUAAGUUUUAAAGUAAAGGUUAAACUCAAAGUUUAAAGGCUUUUUAAUACUAAUAGGCUAGAGUUUACUAGAAGAUAGCUGAACAUUAAGUGUAAAGGUGAAAUUUUUCGAUAUUUAAAGGACAUGCAAUAGGCGAAGGCUGCUAUCUAUUUUAAUACUGACACUGAGGCACAAAAGCAUAGGGAUCA